CCCCGCGCGCUGACGUCAGGCUGGCGGCGGCCUUCUGCGCAGGUGCCUGCGGUCCUCCGCUUUGGUGUGUGUUAGGCCUAGGCGUUUUCUAAAACCUCAGCGCUGUUAGUACCCCGGGGAACUUGGAGAGGGAAGUAGGCGCUCAAAAAGGAGACGUGGGAAAAAAGAAAAGGCGACGUGGGAGAAUGGGCAAGCUGCUCAGGGAGUGGAAACUUAACGGAACAAAAACGAUGAGAAACCAAGACCCAAAGGAGGUCACACAAUUGCCCGAAGUCACACAUUCGAACACUGUCCUAGACCUGUUUUAAGAAUCAGCUAUGAGGGAGAGCUGAAGUUCUGGGGUGAAGCCUGAACCCUCUAAAUCCCCCAUCAUAAGCAGCCAGCCGACCUCAGGCCCAGGAAGUGCUUGAGGACAUCCCUCCCCGUGCGUGCGUCUCCGCCGUGGUCCCCAGCACUUCUGCACCUGGACUUGGUCAUUUUACAGCCCGGCACUCGACCACAGCCGGAGGGAAGCGAGGCAAGGAGCGCGCACCGCCAGGCGAAUGCCGGGGACCGGGACGAAGCCCCACACGGGCGGCGCCGGGCAGGGCGCAGCUGGGCCAUUACUCAGCCCCUUCCUGCUGGCCCGCCUGGCGCCCUGCCGGGCCGCCUCCUCUGCCCCCCCCCCCCCCGCGCUCACCUCCCUUGCUGGUUACCUCAAGUCCCACCUAUUUUUCCCUUUUUCUCUUGUUCAAUCCCAUCUGUAGCUUCUCAUCCGAAGCUGUCUUCUUAGGUGCAAUAUGUAAACUGUCUUGAAUUCAGCCAUGGAAAGUUAAAUCCUGAAGUUUCAUCUCCCCAGUUCUGGGAUCCCAAGCCAGGAUCUGCCCAGAGCCAGCCUUUUAAAUGAACGUGUCUGUACAGUGGCCAGAAGAAGGCUCUGACCAGCAUGGGCUUUCAUCCCAUCUCCAGCUGGCCUGAAGCUCCUCACUGUGUUGUGACCUCGAGGACGAGGAUGGAAUUCUGGCAUGGAUUCCAAAGGUGUUCAGAAUGGCUGUGUUGCCCAGGUUCCCCUGUACCCCCGUCUGGUACAGCACACACAAGCUAGGCCUGAGAAGUCAGGUGUAUUCACUGAGCACACAUUUCCUUAUUGAGCCCCAGUAAUCCCGUGCCCUGUGCUGGGGUCUGCAGAGAUGAGUUGAAUUUGAUCUCCUCCCUCUAGGUCUUAAAAGAUGGCAAGGAGGUACCAAGGAGGAGUUGAUGAAGUACUAGGAAACAAGCUAGCAACAACAAACAAUAAAAUGAAAAGAAAAAUCACAGAGGUCCUAAAGCCCAAAUUUUCAAGGAACCUGAGCUGAAAGUCAGCUCUGUGGCCAGCUGUAUGCCACAGAGAUAUCCGAGGGGAAUUCGAGAGAAGGCUUCAUGUGCUCACUGAGUGGGCUUUGUCCUGAGGGCAGUGAGAAGCCACAGAAGUCUUCAGAGUGAGGGGAGGGAUGGGGUGAAACCUGUGACUGCUGCACGUUGUUCUGGGAGUUGGGCUAAGGUAGCUCAGGGCCAAGGAGGGGCAGGUUGGGGAUGUAAACCUGCCCUUUCUCUGCCUACCAAGCCAUGCACCGGAACAGGGGCGCCUUUUGGCACUUUUCCUCCUAGAGGCCCAAAGUGUCUCCUGUGCUAGCAGCAGCCCAGGGCUAUAUAAUAAAGGGGGAGCACAAGUUCACAAGGGUGGAACACAGAGGGCAGGCUGUGGAGGGAGAUUUCAGCAGUGUGGGCAACCUUGGGGUGCUGAGUGAUAAGCCUCUGGAAUUCAUGGGGGGUGUGAUGGAACCGAAAACCAAAACGGGCCCUUGAGCUGGCUAGAACAAGUCAGGCCAGGGCCAACACCUGCACGUGGGUGGGGAGACAGUAAGGACUGUGUCCCAGGGCAGGCUCCACCCCAGUCUCACUGUGGGGACUGUGGCCUCACCCAGAAGGCCUCAGCUGCCGGUCAGGGCUAGGUGUUCGCAGGGAAGGGAGCAGGGUACCUUUGGGACCACUGAAGCAGCCAUUCUCCCCUCCUGGCCUCCCAGGCUUCCCUGGGUACCAGGCCACCUUCUACUCCACACCUCUGCAGCCCUUCUGCCUUCCCAUCUCUUCCGCCUGCCCACGUUCACCAGCUCAAUCUUGACACUGAGAAGACCCUAUGGGGCAGGCAGAGGGUUGAGGAUCACAUGCACACACUCCUGCAAGACUGGGAGGUCCCCUAGCUCCUGCUUCUCGGGCAUCGCUUAAUUGCAGACCAUGAGCAUGCACAGGGUGCAGCCAGCUCCCCCACGGCCCCUCCUCCUUGGCAUCACUCUGUCCUCGUCAGAGCCAGGAUUGGAGCCAGCUUCCUCUGGCCAACUGGGCAUUCAGGACAACAGGCUUCAACUAUCCUGGUACUGAUCAGCAAUCCACCAAUGCCCACGAGAGUUCGUUUAGCUGGUGAAGAUCAUGGUCAGGUGCUUUAGCAUGGGCAGCAGUUAAAAGAAGACAAAGAGCCUUUAUUCUAGCAAAGAUUGGUCUUAACCUGUAAGCUCACACCCUCCCCUCUCCCUUCCCAUUCCUCUUUCCCACUUUGUCUUCUCUCUGCUACUCUGUUCCCCAACCUCCAUCUCCCUCUGCCUUCAGUAUUUGGGGUGAUUCACUUUUGCUUUUAUGAAAGCACUGGCCCUGGCAUAGGAUUCCAAAUGUCAUGAAUGACCCUAUCCUAAUAGAGUCACCCCUGCCUGCUACCCUAUCUCUCCCCACAGGACAUGAAGAUGGUGUAGAGAGCUGCAGAACAUCGCUGUGCAGGGCACUGAGUCCCUCUGUGACAGCAGAAGAGCCGGGACCGUUGGAGAUCCCACUUCCCUGGAAAGGGUGCCACAUUAGUUUCUGGUCCUCCUCCAGCCAGCCCAUCUCCAAGUGACCCAAGACCCCAGCAGUUUCUGAGGCCAGAGAUUCCUAUAGUAUUUGUCUCAGUGACCGGCUUAUUUCACUUAGCAUAGUGUUCUCAGGGUUCAUCCAUGUUAUAGCAUGUGUCAGAAUUUUCUCCU